UCUGAAUGCUAUAUUUUUUGG
rnacentral:piRNA from 1 species